rnacentral:rRNA from 1 species
GGAAUAUUGCGCAAUGGGCGAAAGCCUGACGCAGCGACGCCGCGUGGGUGAUGACGGCCUUCGGGUCGUAAAGCCCUGUCGAGGGGAAAGAAACGGUCUCGACCUAACACGUCGGUGCCCUCACGGUACCACUAAAGGACGUACCGGCUAACUCCGUGCCCGCAGCCGCGGUAAUACGGAGGGUGCGAGCGUUGUUCGGAAUCACUGGGCGUAAAGGGCGUGUAGGCGGUCCGCUAAGUCUGAUGUGAAAGCCCGGGGCUCACCCCCGGAAGGGCAUUGGAAACUGACGGACUCGAGUCCCGAAGAGGAGGGUGGAAUUCCUGGUGUAGCGGUGAAAUGCGUAGAUAUCAGGAGGAACACCGGUGGCGAAGGCGGCCCUCUGGACGGUGACUGACGCUGAGACGCGAAAGCGUGGGGAGCAAAC